UACGUAGGGGGCAAGCGUUGUCCGGAUUUAUUGGGCGUAAAGAGCGUGUAGGCGGCCGCACAGGUCCGUUGUGAAAACUGGAGGCUUAACCUUCAGACGUCGAUGGAAACCGUGCGGCUAGAGUCCGGAAGAGGAGAAUGGAAUUCCUGGUGUAGCGGUGAAAUGCGCAGAUAUCAGGAAGAACACCCGUGGCUAAGGCGGUUCUCUAGUACGGUACUGACGCUGAGACGCGAAAGCGUGGGGAGCGAACAGGAUUAGAAACCCCCGUAGUCC
rnacentral:rRNA from 1 species